CCUUUAUAAGCACGGGGAGUAACCAUCUUCUGCCUCAUUCAUCAGCUUCCGUCCAUCCUCAGGUAUCUUCACGCCUGCAAAGACUAUCCCCAGCUGGCAAUCAUGAGAAUCCUUUUCUUCCUUGUCGCUCUUCUCUUCUUCAUCUUCCAGGCUGCUCCAGCUUACAGCCAAGAAGAUGCUGACACCGUAGCAUGCCGGCAAAGCCAUGGCUCCUGCUCUUUUAUUGCAUGCUCUGGUCCUCUGGUUGACAUUGGGACCUGCCGCAAUGGGAAGCUGAAAUGCUGCAAAUGGACACCCAGUUCCUAAAUUUACACCUCACUGACCAGGCAGACAAGAGCUCUGGGAACCUGAGACAUCUCCAGUUUUCUGACAUCAAUGGAUCCCGGCCUUGGUGCAAACCUGAGGAGACUUUCCCAUGUGGUGAAGACUCCUGGGAGCACGAGAAGAUGUGAGGAGGAGUUCUUGUAGCCCUGAUAGAGAUUUGCAGCUUCAAUUCUAAUAAAAGCAAGACACUGUGAAACCACA